rnacentral:lncRNA from 1 species
CAUCAUUGUAUACAUUACAUUUUGGUAUAUUGUCUUUAGCUUUCAUUCUGUGCUAGGAUUUAAAAUUUUUCUGUAGGCAGAGUUAUUUGUUUGUUUGUUUUUGUCAGUACUGCGAAUCAGUUCUGUCCCACCAUCUGGUUCACAAAUAAUCACACAGAGACUUAUUAUCAUUAAUGAUAAAUGCUUGGCCGAUACCUUAGGCUUGUUACCCACUAGCUGUUACAACUUAAAUCAACCCAUAUUUCUUAUCUACUCUCUACCAACGGCAAUACCUUUUUUCAGCGUGUUCAUCUCCUGCUUUCUGUGCAUCUCACUAGUAACUCUGCCCUUCUUUCCAUGCUCUCUUUUUGUCUGAAAGUCCUGCCUACCUAUUGGCCAUUCAGCCCUUUAUUAAACCAAUCCAAGUGACAAAUCUUCACCGUGUACAAAAGGAUUAUUCCUCAACAGUUCUUCUUGAUUUCUUCAGUGAUCCAAUCACCAUUCAACCAUUCAAAUACUGCAGUGUUGAAGUGAACCUAACACAAUGGUUAAGAAUGAAGACUCUGGAUGUCCUAAACAAAAGAAUGAAGAUUCUGGAGAGACAGACAGUUCUGGGUUCGAAUCUUCAUCUGCCAUUUUAAAUUACUAAAGGGCUGGGGCUUAUGUGUGCAGCAUAAGACAAUACACAAGUUCAGGAUACUUCUUGUUUUAAGAGACCUGGUUACAGUAGAGACCGGAACUAGUGAAACAUGAGAUGCAACUCCAAGUGAGACGAGUAAAAUUGACAGCAGGAGAAGGUGAGAGGCUGAAGGAUGGGCAGUCCAGGUGUACUGAAGAAGUCCACACUGAAAGGAAGAUUAGUCAGUACCAUCCCUCAUUGAAGAAAUGGAGACCAUCACAGAGAACCACAACUGGACAUAAUGUAGAGAUCAAUGGAUUUGUGGGAUCCUGGCCCCAAUGGAUACAUCUAUAGCACAGCUCCUAUGUCUAUAGCUCAAGGAACAGCGUGGAAGAGGAAGUGGAAAGGCUACAAGGGCCGGAAUACCAGCAAGUCUGCUGUGAGACAGUCUUUCCUAAAAACGACUGUGUAAACAAGAUUGGAACAAUGGCAGUAUCAUUGGACAUGUUAACGUGGAAGGGGACAUUUCAAGAGUUUCUAGCCCUAGAAAGAGAAUUACAGGCAGCUAAUGACUGAUGGGAGAAGGAGAACUAACCUGUUCUGGGGAUGAGCCCCAUAUUGGUUGUCCAACCAUGACUGGCCAUGAAACCAUAUACACACAAAUAACAAAAUUAGAUUCAGCAGGUUAUAUUUAUAUGUGUUUGUGCACACACAUCCGUGUGUGUGUGUGUGUGUGUGUGUGUGUGUGUGUGUGUGUGUGUGCAACAAUAAUAUUCAAAGCAAAGGAGAAUAUCAUCCUUAGAGUUGGGGGAGUCGAUGGAGUAUCUGGCAGAAACUGUAGGGAAGAAGGGGGCAGAGCAUUAUAAUUCUAUUCUAACUGAAGCCAUUUUUAAAAGCCUUCCUGACUAGAACAGGAGGCUAUGCCCUAGUGACUCUGAUCUGUGUGUCCUGAUGAUCAGAGGAGCGGAACACUUGCUGUAUUGUCUUCCUACAUUGUUGUUUUUUCCAUACAGUUGUUGCCCAGUCAACCACUUUAAAAUUGACAGAUUUGUUUUCUGCUGUUCCAUGAGCGGCCCUGCACUGCACGCCACCCCCUCUGUCAGGUCCUGAAGUGCUGUUCAUCCGUACACGGCACGCCACCCCCUCUGUCAGAUACAAGGCUGAUGGCAUGUUGACUUCUAAUUCAGC